rnacentral:rRNA from 1 species
UACGAAGGUGGCAAGCGUUGUUCGGAUUUACUGGGCGUACAGGGAGCGUAGGCGGUUGGAUAAGCCCUCCGUGAAAUCUCCAGGCUUAACCUGGAAAGUGCAGAGGGGACUGUUCAGCUAGAGGAUGGGAGAGGAGCGCGGAAUUCCCGGUGUAGCGGUGAAAUGCGUAGAGAUCGGGAGGAAUACCGGUGGCGAAGGCGGCAUCCUGGACCGGCAUUGACGCUGAUGAGCGAAAGCUAGGGGAGCAAACGGGG